CUUUCGAGAUCACGGAAGUAUCUUUCUCGAGAAGGCAGUCGCUCUCUUCGUUUAGCUGAUCCGUUUUUACGGACGGUUAUUGGACGUGAUAAAAAUGGAGGUCGUUGUUAUGGAUGGAGAAUUGAUCGAUUUGAAAUUGAGAAGUGAAUGAAGUAGAAGAAGAGGAUGAAACGACUAUUCGGACACGGUGAGACACACGUGGGGCGAGGAAGCAAGCCGUUAGAAGACUGGCCGAACUUGAGAGGCAUCCCUUGGCCUCGAUGCUAAACACAUAACUUAUAUGAUCUUCUAAGUAUCUUUCUCUUGUCAUGACAAUGAAAUCGAUUCAAUUCAUUCAAAAAUUGCUUUCCCUAAAAAUUUUUGAUUUCAUCAUCGUUAGAGCAAGUGUGUAGCACAUGCAAACGCAAAAUAUUUGCAAAAGUAGGUUAGAAAGAAAACAAACAAAUAAAUUAAGAUCACCAAAGACCUACAGUCUUGAGAAAAAGAGAACACCGAUAAUUUUCACCGAUAUGACGUAGCAGGUUAAGGGAAAAAAUAAAAAUUCUUGAUGAGGUUAUGAUAUCUUGUUGAAUAAUAUACCGCGAUUAUUAAGAACUGGCUUUCUGCCAACGAUACUUGUCAUCGAAAGAAAAACGGACACUGAGAGUCAAGGGAGUAAAAAGGAGACGAAACAUUCGGGUCAUUGUCGCUCUAUAAUUAGAUCCAAGGGUCUACAUUACUUUGGUUGGAUCAUAUUCGAAUAGUACUGGAGGCAAUUAUAAUUAUCUCGAAGAAAGUUUGGAUACGUUCCAUGUUCAGUUAAUUGUGGAACUAUGCUUUACGUACGAAUCAACGAAGAGAUUUUGGGUUAUUACACGGAUCGCUAAAUUGAAUUUAAAUAUCUUGUUUAAUCAACUCUUACUGUAAUCAAGUAUUUGUGAUGUAAGAAAAUGUGAUAUUUAAAAUUUUUUACUAUUUCUUAAAUAUUUCAUGUAAAGAGAAAAUUUGAAAAAAAAUUAAAUUAGAUUAAAUUUGAUUAGUAUUUAUAUAGCCAAUCAUAAAUUAUUUAUGAGAAAGAUAUUUUCGAAUUUUUUUUAAACAGAUUAUUGUAAUGUUUUUUAAAAAAUUUAAGAAAAUCAAAUUCGAAUUCUAAAUAAACGUGUAUAUUAUUUAUUCGCAUCAUGCGAAUUUAUUAUCAUAA